rnacentral:tRNA from 1 species
GCUAGCGUAGCUCAAUUGGCAGAGCAGUGGUUUUGUAAACCACAGGUUGCGGGUUCAAGUCCCACCGCUAGCU